CAAUGUGGAGGUGACUGAAAGAAUCUCACCUGAAGUUUACAAAUAUAAGAUCAACUUAGGUGAAGUAACAUUAUUGAUGAUGGCAUUUCCUAUCUGAAGUUCUUGCCAAGUUAGAAUUUUUCAGGAAUUCACAUGUUUUUUCAAUCUGAAGUCUGAACUUCCAAAUUUAUCUUUUCUAGACAAAGUUUGUCAUCCCAGAGCUUGUAAAAGCAUCCUAUUACAUGCUAGUGCGAAACCAAUAACGUCAUCCAAAUUGCUGAAUGUUUGAUGUUACAAUAUCCCUGUAAAGGGAAUGUAUUUCAGCUAUUUGGUCUCUCUUUGUUUGCCAAGUAGAAAAUUUUAUAACCUGCAUUGGUUAUAUGCUAGAUGUUGGA
rnacentral:misc_RNA from 1 species